AAGAUGUGCAUGUGUGGCGAAUGUAUGGUGUAUGGUGAUGAUGGUGAUAACAAUGGUGAAAGUCUAAUUCUACUUUUGCUCUUUUAAGGGGAUACAUACCUUUCUUGCACUUAGAAGUUUUUUGGGGAGAAUGAGAUGCUCUAUAUUUUCUUUUUCUUACCUCUCAGGUGGGUAUCUUGUACCCCUAAUUCUACUGUCGGACACAUGUCCAUUUUUACCUCUCGUCUCACUUUUUCUUUUCUUCGAGGUUCCGGGCACUUGCCCCUUUUUAUUUCCUCGUAUAUUAUUUUUUUUUUCUUCUUUUUUUUCUCUUUUUUUUUCUUUCUAGAGCACUCAUCUCCUGAAAUAAUGUAGCAAGUGGUAGUAACCAAAAUAACUGGAGCAUUUAUUUCAUAGGGAAUAACAGGGAUAGGAAAAUGUUUUUGGCUAUUCUCUCCCGGAUUAGGAGUAGAAUAAUUUUGGGUAAAACUGGAGAUAGAAAUGAGUGGAUAUAUGUGGAUGGUACUUCCGGAGUAGAAGUAGCAUGUAUGAGUAAUCGUGCAAGUGAAUCUUGAUUUUAACCACAUGACAAGCUCCUAAGGGUCUACACAGCUUGACCACACUCAAUGCUCAUAAGCAGUAAAUAGUAAAUGUGUGGCUCAAGGUCUAGCAAGCAUGUAUAUAUGGCUGUGGUAGGAAUUUAAACACUCAUCAUACAGGAACUCAUCAUGCAACUCAUCAUACCGGUCUCUACCACUACGAAGUCUGCUGGGGCAUACAAGGUACCAACUCGGACACAAAGGUUCUGCACUAUUCCUUUUGGAAAACUUAUUGCCUGAUCUGCAAACUGCAAACACAUGGUUGUUUCUAAUAAAGGAUAUGUAAAGAUUUUUUCAUAGAGUACCCUGGGUAUAAUGUUGACGCUGGAGCCAAAGUCACAGAGUGCUUCUGGGACGUCCACCAUGCCGAUGGAGAUCGGGAUGACGGGGCGUCCUGGAUCGCCUCUCUUGACCGGCAGAAGGUCAGUAGUGAAUUCGGUGACGGGGUUACUCCAAUUACCUGCAUCAAACAUGUCUACAAGAUUUGCAGAUUCUAAUCCUUCCGGUUGUGAUGGUAUACCGGGGUUAGUAGUAGGAACAGCAGCAGCUAUUUGAUUUAACUGGGAUUCAAUCAUUUUAUUAAAGCUAAUUUGGUUCUUGAUGGCAGUAGAGGAAUUAUCCAUUCUAUUAUUUAUAUUUUCUAGCAUUUUAUCAUUAGAUGCCAAUUUCUUAGAUAGAUUAUCCAUUAGCUUUCCUUGAUUAGACACUAACUCUCUCAAAGGUGGAAAAUUAUUAGUAUUGUUGUAAGAAUUGUUACCUUGAUAAUUACCUGAGUAGUUACGCCUCUGUUGAUUCCAACCUUGGUUUGGUUGAGGACGGUUGUAGUAGCAGUUGUUGUUGUUGUUGAUGUAGUUCACAUCCUCAAGCAUCUCAGGGCAGUGAUUGCCUGAGUGUCUAGUAUCUCCACACUCCUCACAAGUCAUGUGAGAGUCGUAGAUGUGCAUAACUUCUUUCUUAUCUCCGGUUCUAUCGUAGAGCUUCUUCAUGAGCAGGUCUAGCUUUGCAGACAGCAUGUCUACCUCCUUGAGCUGAUGCAUACCUCCACCUCUCUUGCGUGUCUGGGUCCUUUCUUCAUUCCAGCCUUGAUUGGAUGCCAUCUUCUCCACAAGAGCUGUGGCUUGUGGUAUGGUAUGUGAUAAGAAUGCUCCUCCAGCUGCAGCAUCCAUGGUCUCUCGGGCACUGUUGCCGAGCCCAUGAUAAAACGUCUGCAUUAGUAGCCAACUCUCCAUUCCAUGAUGGGGACAUUCUAGGAUGUAAUCUUGAAAGCGCUCCCAUGCUUCUGGAACAGAUUCAUCAUUUUGUUGCUGAAAACAUGUAAUCUUCCCACGGAGAGCAUUGGUCAUGCCCAUGGGAAAGAACUUGGCCAGGAAGUUUGUUGAGCAGAGUGCCCACGUAGUAUUCUUCUCCUUUGUAGCGUAGAACCACUGCUUUGCUCUUCCUAACAGUGAGAAUGGGAAGAUGCGAAGUAGUAUAGCAUCUCUGGGGACUCCUGAUAUGGUGAAUGUGCUGCAAAUCUCCAAGAAGUGUUGGAGAUGAGCACUAGCAUCUUCGUGUGCCUUCCCACAGAACUGGUUGGAUUGCACCAUGUUGAUAAGUCCAGGCUUUAACUCAAAGUUGCCAUCGAUCUCUGCAGCAGGUCCAGUGCGGAUGUUGUCCGUAGUGGGAGCUGAGAACUCGCGGAUUGAUUUGUUUGCCAUGGCUUCGAAUUCUAAAGACAAGUUCCGGUGAUCUUCUUGAUUGGAUGAAGCUUCUUGUUGAAGUGUUGAUGAUCUCUUCUUGAGCUUGGCUCUCGUCUUCUUGAAUAAUGCUUCAGGAUUGUCAACAAAAUUUCCUGGAAGAUGUCUUCUAUUCAUACAUUUCCCUGCAUAAGGUAAAAUAGAAAAAUAUCGGGGUAAAACUGUAUGAGAGAAUAGAUAAGCUGAAUCAUAUUAGUGAUGCGAAUGAUAACUCAAAAUCCUUUAUUCUAUUCCUGAUUAGUAAUCAACCUUCCCCGGCAACAGCGCCAAAAAUGCUUGUUGGGUAUUCUUAACAUCAUUACCAAAAGUAGACUAAGUUCUCUAAAUCUAGUAACGGUGCCAAAAAUGCCAAACCUAUCCCUCAUACCACUUAAGACAAGUUGUCAUCCCCAGCUUGACAUGAGAGACGCGGUAUUGAAAUAUGCAAUUGCUCUUCUAAAUAAAUAAUGAAUGGGAUCUGCAAGCGCACAGAUUAAUACCGAUGUAGCAUUUUAACCGGGAAGUAUUCCAGGUAUUGUUAUUUAUAUUUUUACCACUGGGAAGGGAUUAACAAUCAUCAAUAUUGAUUACAGAAUAGAAUAUGAGAUUGAGUAUCUAUCAUUGCAUGUAUAAUUGAGAAAAUUUAUCUAACUCUUUCAUACAGGGAUAAGUGUCAAAGAUAUAUGAAGUAAUGAAUAGUGACAAAGAUAAUUAAUCUGAUCUAGCCACAUAAUAAAUAUGAUAAGCACCUCAAUUAGAUACUCUAGAAAGUCAUUAGCAUGGUAUUAGAACGAACUACAAGAAUAUUUCCUAAGUUAUUCUCAACUAUAUAGUCUAGCAUUAUCAUAGUUAGUGCAAGCAUACUUAGCAAUCAUUGCGAGACAAGACUACGCCCAUGCAUAGUGAUAUUAGCAAGGUAAAUGAGAAACAUAGCAAUCACUCCCCUGUAAUAAUAUUGCUCUGCCAGCCCAAUACAUAAGAGGGGGACUAUAUAAGAAUCAAUGAAGCUGUCACUAUCACGAACUACCCCACGAUCUGGCAUAUUGGGUACAAUCGCAGAUAAAUACGGUAUAAGCACCACGCCUACACAAUAUCUAUCAUUUACCUAUGGAUCCAAUGGAUAAACGCUAUACGAUCCUAAGCAUGUAUAUAGAUCCAAUCUAACUAAGCCAAGUAUAUAACUAUGAUAAACUAAGAACAAUAUAAUCAUGAAUAUAAACAAGUAGAGCAAAGUCAUAAGCAAUAUAUUGAAGUAGAACAAAGUCAUAUUCAUAAUAUUGAAGAACAAAGAUAAUUAGAAGAACAAUUAGAAGCACAAUUAGGGAAUUACCAAGAAUCCUCUUGACAGAUCCGGAAACAAAUCGAAGAUUGACUCCUUCUAGUUCUAAUCCUAUGUAGCUAUGCUAAUCUAGAUGUCUAAUUGAUGUGGUGGCUCUAAUCUUGAUCAGAGGCUUCUUCUCCCUUGAAGAACAAUGAAUUAGGGUUGAGAGGCUCUCUCCUCCAGGGGCCAGGGGGUCUGGUUUUAUAGUCCCUUCAAGUGAAUAUGGGACGUUGGAUCAAACCGACAUUGAUUGAAUGGUUAUCCUUGAUCCUUUAGGUCGGUGGAGAUCUCCCGAGAAACAGAGUCCUGAUUGGACUCAGAGAGGGGGGCGGGCGCCCUGGGCCUGGCCCCUUUCGGGCUCCGCUUCCUUCCCGUCGCUUCUGGAGUCUUCUAGAUGGUAGAAAAUUGCGCGGUGGGUUGAUAUCUCUAUGUAAUCCCGACAUGUGGGCCUUUCUUCCUUAUUUCCUGAUAACCCCCUGCAAAAAUAGACAAACACCAAAACUCGUGGAAUUCUGUCAGAUAAAACCCUAAGUCUAGAUGUUGAUUUCAUUUGGAUCCUUUAAUUGGUUUAUUUAAUAAUUAAAUUUGAUGCUUAAGGACAGUCAACAAACUCCCCCAAACUUACCUCUUGCUCGUCCCUGCGCAAGGAUGAACUCAAGAGUUUCUGCAGUGGUUUCAUUUCUUAGAAGUACACACGCAUUUAAAGAAGAUCUCAUCUCUGAGUUAGAAUAAACUGUUAAGACUUAAAACUUACUUACUUUACCUACACCAUAGGACUUGUAACCGUCACUUCUGUCUUGAGUGGUUAAAAGAUAGAACAGUCUAGCCAAGUGUCAUGUCUCUUAUUCUUGAUCAGCUAUAGCUCUGGGGUUUUUGCAGAUUUUCAAAUAAAACUCAGAAAUUCCUUGUAUGAUUCUCUUAGGUCUCUCUUUUGUGGUAUUUUUGGAUCCUUACCAAGGCAGUGAUGGUAUAUGCCUUCUCUCAAGAUAUGUAGUAUUUGUGGUAUGAAGCAUAGUGACAUUGUCUUCUCUCUCACCCUACUCUAAUAAGGCUUUAAUAUCUGGAGCUCAUAGGUGGGAGAUAAAGUAUACAUACUUACAAGACAUUUAUUGCAUAGUCAAACCAUGGAUCCAGAGAAACAAGUCAAUAAGUCAAAUCAAGAUGUGCAUGUGUGGCGAAUGUAUGGUGUAUGGUGAUGAUGGUGAUAACAAUGGUGAAAGUCUAAUUCUACUUUUGCUCUUUUAAGGGGAUACAUACCUUUCUUGCACUUAGAAGUUUUUUGGGGAGAAUGAGAUGCUCUAUAUUUUCUUUUUCUUACCUCUCAGGUGGGUAUCUUGUACCCCUAAUUCUACUGUCGGACACAUGUCCAUUUUUACCUCUCGUCUCACUUUUUCUUUUCUUCGAGGUUCCGGGCACUUGCCCCUUUUUAUUUCCUCGUAUAUUAUUUUUUUUUUCUUCUUUUUUUUUCUCUUUUUUUUUCUUUCUAGAGCACUCAUCUCCUGAAAUAAUGUAGCAAGUGGUAGUAACCAAAAUAACUGGAGCAUUUAUUUCAUAGGGAAUAACAGGGAUAGGAAAAUGUUUUUGGCUAUUCUCUCCCGGAUUAGGAGUAGAAUAAUUUUGGGUAAAACUGGAGAUAGAAAUGAGUGGAUAUAUGUGGAUGGUACUUCCGGAGUAGAAGUAGCAUGUAUGAGUAAUCGUGCA
rnacentral:lncRNA from 1 species